rnacentral:rRNA from 1 species
CCUACGGGUGGCAGCAGUGGGGAAUAUUGGACAAUGGAGGCAACUCUGACCCAGCAAUGCCGCGUGAGUGAGGAAGGUAAUUUUAUUGUAAAGCUCUUUUCUUUGGGACGAAUAAAUGACGGUACCACAGGAAUACGCCCCGGCUAACUACGUGCCAUCAGCCGCGGUAAUGUGUAGGGGGCACGCGUUGUUCGGAAUGACUGGGCGGAAAGGGUGUGUGGGGGGUGUGAUAAGUUAGAUGUGUAAUACCCAGGGCUUAACUCGGGUGCUGCAUCUAAAACUGUUAGACUUGAGUACUGGAGAGGAUAGUGGAAUUCCUAGUGUAGCGGUGGAAUGCGUAGAUAUUAGGAGGAACAUCAGUGGCGAAGGCGACUAUCCGGACAGCAACUGACACUGAGGCACGAAAGCGUGGGGAGCAAACAGGAUUAGAUACCCGAGUAGUC